rnacentral:rRNA from 1 species
UACGUAGGGUGCAAGCGUUGUCCGGAAUUAUUGGGCGUAAAGAGCUCGUAGGCGGCUCGUCGCGUCGGCUGUGAAAACCUGGGGCUCAACCCCAAGCCUGCGGUCGAUACGGGCAGGCUCGAGUUCGGUAGGGGAGACUGGAAUUCCUGGUGUAGCGGUGAAAUGCGCAGAUAUCAGGAGGAACACCGAUGGCGAAGGCAGGUCUCUGGGCCACUACUGACGCUGAGAAGCGAAAGCAUGGGGAGCGAACAGG